AGUGGUGCCCUCUUUUCUUGGCUCAUGUUGCCCCCGGAGCUCGUUCUUGAUUCACUUGGACGGUUUCCUCUAGAGUCCGGGUUGAUGGUUGGUCUUCAGGCAGCAUGUGGGUAGUCUUAGGCCACUCGGCGGUGACUGGAUAAUCCCAGGUGGUAGCUGCGGAUUCGAACCCACGUCGUCUAGAACACGGUGAAUGCGGGGCCCGCACGCUAACCAUUCAGCCAUUCCUAUAAUCCGUGCCCCGUCCAUCAGUGAAUGAUUAAUGGGUGUCAAUCUGGAGUAGGGUUCUGCCUUGCAAAUGGUUGUCGGUGUGAGGUUUCAGCCGAACCCAUAGAUCUGUUACCUGUGAGUUCGCUUUGCUGGGGAAGGCUUCCUCAACAGCAAUAGAUUUCCCCUAUUUCAAGUAAAUAUAUUAAUUUUGAGAUUUUUAUGAUUUUUAAAGGCGAAAUUUAAAGUUUCGGGCGAUAGUUCUCCAGAUUUUCUCUUUCAUAUAUCUAAUUUAUGAUUAACCCGAUGUACAUGUGGGGAAUGGUAUGUAUUGCAAUUAAAAUCAAUUUGGGUGUGGUGGUGGCCGAAAGGUGAACGAGUGGACGUGGUGGUCCCUAUUACCUUGGUUCAACUCCCACCAAAAACAUUUGAAUAAUUUUAACCAUCGUUGAGUGGCGAAAGAAAACUCAAAUACUGUCAAGACCUUCAAUUAAUAGCGUCUUCCAUUUAGUGUAACCCGUUUCUGGGUCGUGAUCUGGCGGCGGAUGCUCAAACGGUCGUAUCUCAACAUUUGGUCCUAAAUCCGCCAUUGUGGUUGCAAGUGCUGCCCCGUGCGAUGUUCAAAAAACGUCGUAGACGCCAUCUUGUGACGUCAGGUCGCCCCUCAACCUGACUGCUCGGAAGCGGGGCUAGAUCCGACCAGUUUCCGUCCUAACCCGUCGCCAUUAAAGGAGUGUUUCCGCCUCAUCCACAUCUCCACCUCUAUACACAAUAUAAGAUGGAGCUUGUUGCGGCAUACAUUUUCAAUCGCAGACUGUGCAGGGAAAGGAGAUAUCGGGACCCACUCGACCCACUACAUGUCAGUGAUGAACACCUGUUGCAGGUGUAUAGAUUUCCCCGUCAGGAAAUCAUCAGGCUCUGUGAUGAGUUUCGCCCCCACCUGGAAAGGAGAACCAGGAGGGCACAUGCACUCCCAACACACACCCAGGAGACACUGCGUAUCCUCUGGAGCCAUUCCUGAUGACCCCAGUUGCACGCCCGACAACACCUGGGGAGGAGCGCUACAACAAGUCAUCACAGGACAAGAUGCGUUGUCGAACGGACCUUUGGGAUCCUCAAGUCAAGGUGCAGGUGCCUACAUAAGUCAGGAGGAAGUUUGCAGUAUGACCCCAAGAAGACUAUGAAGAUUGCGACUUCUUGUAUGCUCCUGCACAACUACUGAGUGGAUCGCUGCAGAAGAAGUACCAGUUCAGCCUGUGAGAAACAACAGACUGAUUCCUGGUCAAGUUGUCAGGCAGGAAAUUAUUAGAAACUUCUUUUCCUGAGUAUAGAUUGCAUAUGGUGCACCGGUGGCCGAGUGGUCAGCGUGUGUACGUGGUGAUCCAGAGGACUCGACUCCCACCGCAAGACGCUGAGAGUUUUCAACCAUUGACAAGUGGCGGAGGGUUACCAACAUGCUGCCCAGCAGAUCUUCAGUCAACCCUAACUUCAGCGUCUUUGAUCAAGAGGGGCACCACCUCCACACCACACAUUCUUAUCACCUAGUUUGAUACCCUACUUGUCCAUCUCACAUGCCCCAUGUAUCUCAGCAUUCUGCACUCUUGGCUCCAUGUCAUCCUCUCCAACUUGUUGGUUCGUAUAGCAUAACCGGCCUCACAUACAUAGAAGUGUUCAAUAUACCUAGGCUAUAAUAUUAUAUUUAAGGACUCUUAUACGAGGUAUCGCCCCAUACAGAGGUGUCGAAGUAAAUCUGUCUGAUGGUAGGCUGGCUGACUGCUGUCGGGACCCAAGCCAGCAUGCCCUGGGG